rnacentral:rRNA from 1 species
GUAGUCUCGCACAGAUGCAUAUCAAUAAGCGGAGGAAAAGAAACUAACAAGGAUUCCCUUAGUAACGGCGAGUGAAGCGGGAAGAGCUCAAAUUUGAAAUCUUCAAGGUUUUACCUUGACGAAUUGUAGUUUAAAGAAGUGUUUUCUGUUGAAGUUUUGGUAAAAGUUCUUUGGAAUAGGACAUCAUAGAGGGUGAGAAUCCCGUAUUUGACCAUUAUUUUCAGCUGUGUGAUACACUUUCAAAGAGUCGGAUUGUUUGGGAAUGCAGUCCAAAAUGGGUGGUAAAUUUCAUCUAAAGCUAAAUAUUGGCGAGAGACCGAUAGCGAACAAGUACCGUGAGGGAAAGAUGAAAAGAACUUUGAAAAGAGAGUUAAACAGUACGUGAAAUUGUCAAAAGGGAAGCGUUUGACACCAGUGUUGUUUUUCUGAAAAUCAAUUAAAGAACUGUUUAUGCUAAGUUGUUUAGACUUUAUCAGCUAACUGUUUAGUUUUGAGCUUUUCUUUAAUGCACUUUUCAGUUUAACAAGUCAACAUCAAUUUCCUUUGCUGUAAAAAAGCUUGAGGAAGGUGGCUUGAGAUUCGUCUUAAGUGUUUAUAGCCUCUUGCCUAUGCAAGUCGGAGAGAUUGAGGUCUGCAGCGUAGAUCCUUCGGGGCUAGAUAGCAUUUGUGCUAAGUUAUAGCAUUUUAUAGACAACUUGUUGACUAUGAUUUGUCUUGUAGCUUACUCGCUUAUGUUAUUUUACCUACGCUUAGGAUGUUGAGCGCAUGUCUCUCUCU